rnacentral:rRNA from 1 species
ACGCUGGCGGCGUGCCUAAUACAUGCAAGUAGAACGCUGAAGAGAGGAGCUUGCUCUUCUUGGAUGAGUUGCGAACGGGUGAGUAACGCGUAGGUAACCUGCCUUGUAGCGGGGGAUAACUAUUGGAAACGAUAGCUAAUACCGCAUAACAAUAGGUGACACAUGUCAUUUAUUUGAAAGGGGCAAUUGCUCCACUACAAGAUGGACCUGCGUUGUAUUAGCUAGUAGGUGAGGUAACGGCUCACCUAGGCGACGAUACAUAGCCGACCUGAGAGGGUGAUCGGCCACACUGGGACUGAGACACGGCCCAGACUCCUACGGGAGGCAGCAGUAGGGAAUCUUCGGCAAUGGGGGCAACCCUGACCGAGCAACGCCGCGUGAGUGAAGAAGGUUUUCGGAUCGUAAAGCUCUGUUGUAAGUCAAGAACGAGUGUGAGAGUGGAAAGUUCACACUGUGACGGUAGCAUACCAGAAAGGGACGGCUAACUACGUGCCAGCAGCCGCGGUAAUACGUAGGUCCCGAGCGUUGUCCGGAUUUAUUGGGCGUAAAGCGAGCGCAGGCGGUUUGAUAAGUCUGAAGUUAAAGGCUGUGGCUCAACCAUAGUUCGCUUUGGAAACUGUCAAACUUGAGUGCGGAAGGGGAGAGUGGAAUUCCAUGUGUAGCGGUGAAAUGCGUAGAUAUAUGGAGGAACACCGGUGGCGAAAGCGGCUCUCUGGUCUGUAACUGACGCUGAGGCUCGAAAGCGUGGGGAGCGAACAGGAUUAGAUACCCUGGUAGUCCACGCCGUAAACGAUGAGUGCUAGGUGUUGGAUCCUUUCCGGGAUUCAGUGCCGCAGCUAACGCAUUAAGCACUCCGCCUGGGGAGUACGACCGCAAGGUUGAAACUCAAAGGAAUUGACGGGGGCCCGCA